GACGAACGCUGGCGGCGUGCUUAACACAUGCAAGUCGAACGGAAAGGCCCUGCUUUUGUGGGGUGCUCGAGUGGCGAACGGGUGAGUAACACGUGAGUAACCUGCCCUUGUCUUUGGGAUAACUUCAGGAAACUGGGGCUAAUACCGGAUAGGAGCUCCUGCUGCAUGGUGGGGGUUGGAAAGUUUCGGCGGUUGGGGAUGGACUCGCGGCUUAUCAGCUUGUUGGUGGAGUAGUGGCUUUCCAAGGCUUUGACGGGUAGCCGGCCUGGGAGGGGGGCCGGCGACAAUGGGACUGAGAGACGGCGCAGAAGCCUACGGGAGGCAGCAGGGGAGAAUAUGACACAAUGGGCGGAAGCCUGAGGCAGCAACGCCGGGUGCGGGAUGACGUCCUUCGGGUGGUAAACCGCUUUCGCCUGUGACGAAGCGUGAGUGACGGUAAUGGGUAAAGAAGCACCGGCUAACUACGUG
rnacentral:rRNA from 1 species